UACGAAGGGGGCUAGCGUUGCUCGGAUUGACUGGGCGUAAAGGGCGCGUAGGCGGUCUGUACAGUCAGGCGUGAAAUUCCUGGGCUCAACCUGGGGGCUGCGUUUGAUACGUGCAGACUAGAGUGCGGAAGAGGGUCGUGGAAUUCCUGGUGUAGCGGUGAAAUGCGUAGAUAUCAGGAGGAACACCCAUGGCGAAGGCAGCUAACUGGGCAUUAUCUGACGCUGAGGCGCGAAAGCGUGGGUAGCAAACAGG
rnacentral:rRNA from 1 species